GAUGAACGCUGGCGGCGUGCCUAAUACAUGCAAGUCGAGCGAACGGACGAGAAGCUUGCUCCUCUGAUGUUAGCGGCGGACGGGUGAGUAACACGUGGAUAACCUGCCUAUAAGACUGUGAUAACUUCGGGAAACCGGAGCUAAUACCGGAUAAUAUGUUGAACCGCAUGGUUCAAAAGUGAAAGACGGUUUUGCUGUCACUUAUAGAUGGAUCCGCGCUGCAUUAGCUAGUUGGUAAGGUAACGGCUUACCAAGGCAACGAUGCGUAGCCGACCUGAGAGGGUGAUCGGCCACACUGGAACUGAGACACGGUCCAGACUCCUACGGGAGGCAGCAGUAGGGAAUCUUCCGCAAUGGGCGAAAGCCUGACGGAGCAACGCCGCGUGAGUGAUGAAGGUCUUCGGAUCGUAAAACUCUGUUAUUAGGGAAGAACAUAUGUGUAAGUAACUGUGCACGUCUUGACGGUACCUAAUCAGAAAGCCACGGCUAACUACGUG
rnacentral:rRNA from 1 species